rnacentral:rRNA from 1 species
CGAGAAGCUUGCUUCUCUGAUGUUAGCGGCGGACGGGUGAGUAACACGUGGAUAACCUACCUAUAAGACUGGGAUAACUUCGGGAAACCGGAGCUAAUACCGGAUAAUAUUUUGAACCGCAUGAUUCAAAAGUGAAAGACGGUCUUGCUGUCACUUAUAGAUGGAUCCGCGCUGCAUUAGCUAGUUGGUAAGGUAACGGCUUACCAAGGCAACGAUGCAUAGCCGACCUGAGAGGGUGAUCGGCCACACUGGAACUGAGACACGGUCCAGACUCCUACGGGAGGCAGCAGUAGGGAAUCUUCCGCAAUGGGCGAAAGCCUGACGGAGCAACGCCGCGUGAGUGAUGAAGGUCUUCGGAUCGUAAAACUCUGUUAUUAGGGAAGAACAUAUGUGUAAGUAACUGUGCACAUCUUGACGGUACCUAAUCAGAAAGCCACGGCUAACUACGUGCCAGCAGCCGCGGUAAUACGUAGGUGGCAAGCGUUAUCCGGAAUUAUUGGGCGUAAAGCGCGCGUAGGCGGUUUUUUAAGUCUGAUGUGAAAGCCCACGGCUCAACCGUGGAGGGUCAUUGGAAACUGGAAAACUUGAGUGCAGAAGAGGAAAGUGGAAUUCCAUGUGUAGCGGUGAAAUGCGCAGAGAUAUGGAGGAACACCAGUGGCGAAGGCGACUUUCUGGUCUGUAACUGACGCUGAUGUGCGAAAGCGUGGGGAUCAAACAGGAUUAGAUACCCUGGUAGUCCACGCCGUAAACGAUGAGUGCUAAGUGUUAGGGGGUUUCCGCCCCUUAGUGCUGCAGCUAACGCAUUAAGCACUCCGCCUGGGGAGUACUACCGCCAAGGUUG